rnacentral:tRNA from 1 species
CUCUCCGUAGCUCAGUUGGCAGAGCAGCUGACUCUUAAUCAGCGGGUCCCAGGUUCGAGCCCUGGCGGGGAGACAA